GGGGUGUGACUGCGUACCUUUUGUAUAAUGGGUCAGCGACUUAUAUUCUGUAGCAAGGUUAACCGAAUAGGGGAGCCGGAGGGAAACCGAGUCUUAAUUGGGCGUUAAGUUGCAGGGUAUAGACCCGAAACCCGGUGAUCUAGCCAUGGGCAGGUUGAAGGUUGGGUAACACUAACUGGAGGACCGAACCGACUAAUGUUGAAAAAUUAGCGGAUGACCUGUGGCUGGGGGUGAAAGGCCAAUCAAACCGGGAGAUAGCUGGUUCUCCCCGAAAGCUAUUUAGGUAGCGCCUCGUGAAUUCAUCUCCGGGGGUAGAGCACUGUUUCGGCUAGGGGGCCAUCCCGGCUUACCAACCCGAUGCAAACUGCGAAUACCGGAGAAUGUUAUCACGGGAGACACACGGCGGGUGCUAACGUCCGUCGUGAAGAGGGAAACAACCCAGACCGCCAGCUAAGGUCCCAAAGUCAUGGUUAAGUGGGAAACGAUGUGGGAAGGCCCAGACAGCCAGGAUGUUGGCUUAGAAGCAGCCAUCAUUUAAAGAAAGCGUAAUAGCUCACUGGUCGAGUCGGCCUGCGCGGAAGAUGUAACGGGGCUAAACCAUGCACCGAAGCUGCGGCAGCGACGCUGAUGCGUUGUUGGGUAGGGGAGCGUUCUGUAAGCCUGCGAAGGUGGCCUGUGAGGGUUGCUGGAGGUAUCAGAAGUGCGAAUGCUGACAUAAGUAACGAUAAAGCGGGUGAAAAGCCCGCUCGCCGGAAGACCAAGGGUUCCUGUCCAACGUUAAUCGGGGCAGGGUGAGUCGACCCCUAAGGCGAGGCCGAAAGGCGUAGUCGAUGGGAAACGGGUUAAUAUUCCCGUACUUGGUGUUACUGCGAAGGGGGGACGGAGAAGGCUAUGUUGGCCGGGCGACGGUU
rnacentral:rRNA from 1 species